ACUUAGCCAAAUUUUUAUUUUUCCGCCACCGAAACUCUCGACAUCUCCCCUUUUUUUUCUUAUUACUUUUUUUUUAUCAAACAUCAUCUCCCUUGUUCUUGGCACCAUCACACCAUCAUUUGGAAGCCUAAUCGAUCCCAGCUCCAGUGGGUGAAACAACAAUUUCAUAACCACCAAUUCUGGCUUCUUCAAUCUCACAUCUCUCCUCUGCCACAUUUCAUCACGAGAAAUCAGACGGGUUCGAUGCGACGAACUCAAUGAAAGUUCAAUGCAAUCUCACAUCUCUCCUCUCUGUCUUUUGACGAGUCCUCCUCUCGCCAUCCCGCCACUGCCACCACCACACCAUGGCGUUGAAGCUUGAAAGAUUGAAGAUGGAGCUGGUUCUAGUGUGAAAGCUGCUGUCCGAACGAUUCUGAAUCAGGCGCGUCGAGAACACCCUCCAUACCUUCUCAGAGUAGUUCCUUUCACUCAACCCUUUACAGACCAAAUCCUAAGAGUGCUGCUCAUGUUCCUUUCACGAGUCUCUCUUCAUUCCUAUCCCAUCACCACAGUCAUGUCGUAAUCUCUCUCUCUCUCUUUCUCUCCAACUUUGAUUGGUUUUGAUUUCAGGUUCUUACUUGUGUUUGUUGAUAUCGUGAAAGAGAUAUGAAGAGGGUUAGAGAAGAGGUUUACGCCUAAGCUCAGACAUGAGGACAUACAUUUCCUCUCGUGUUAAAACUUUAUUGGAAAUGGUGCAGGAGGAGAUCCGUGUUUCAUCAUUAAAAGGCUAAGACAAAGAAACAUGUUUUACCCAGAAGAUUGAAGUAGAGCUGUCUCGCUCUCUGUAACUUAAUACUACUUCUUAUGGGGAAGUAAAACGGAUAUCUGUCGUCGAGAGAGCCCACCUAGGAAGAAGAAUACAGUGUGUUUCCGGCGAUGGAGAGGAGGAGGAAGAGGAGUGGUGUGGAGAGAAUCGAUGAAGCUGAUGAUGAGAUGUAUAAUUGUAACAGUGAGAAGAUUCACAUUGCUUAAAGAUUGAACGCUAAAAGGGCUGAGAGAUUGUCUUUGCCUGCUUCAAUUGAGAGUUUGGUGUCGUCACUUGAGAAAGAGAAGCAGAGGAACGAGAAGCUUUAUUUACUAGCAUUGAGUUAUAUGUUCCAUUAUGGAGUUCAUGUGUUUCAUGUAUUGAUUUUGUAUGUUUUGAAUCAUUAAUGGAAAAGCAUAUGUUAUUUUAUGA